CGGCCGGUGAGGGAGUGCACCGUAGAGCAGCAGGGCAGCCACCUGCAGCCCACGGCGCAGGGAACAGAUUGCCCUGUCAGCUGUGGAGGAACUGUGGAUCUGCAAGGAAGGAAGAUGCUGCAGCUUGACCCGCUUGCCGGGCUCGAUCUCCACCAGGCGGGAGAAGAAAUCCACCCCCACGGUGGGGUCGCAGAGCAGCGGACCCGGGAAGCGGCCCUCGGUGAAGCGGUGCAGGAGGCAGGACUU